GUGGCGCAGCGGAAGCGCGCCGGGCUCAUAACCCGGAGGACCUUGGAUCGAAGUAUGUUCCUCUCACCU
rnacentral:tRNA from 1 species